rnacentral:lncRNA from 1 species
GCCUGCACCUGACCCCUGGAUAUGAUUCAUAGGGUUUCUGUCUGCUGCGGAGCCGGAGAAAGCAGCCAGCAAAGAUAUAUUAGCUCCUAUGUGGUGUUUUCACGCCCCACUGAUGUGCCAUAAAAACUCCCAGCUAAGGACCUCCUAUUACGAAUGCACCCGCUGUGUGUGAAGGAGGUGACUGAUGUUAAACUCACAUGCCAGAGAGAACUGGCCUAUGAGGAAACAGGAAGAAAGUACUCUCUCUCACACACUUUUUUUUUUUUGAGACAGAGUCUCGCUGUGUUGCCCAGCUGGAGUGCAGAGGCACGAUCUCGGCUCACUGCAACCUCUACCUCCCAAGUUCAAGUGAUUCUCAUGCCUCAGCCUACCGAGUAGCUGGGAUGACAGGUGUCUGUCACCACGCCCAGCUAAUUUUUGUAUUUUCAGUAGAGACGGGGUUUUGCCAUGUUGGCCAGGCUGGUCUCGAACUCCCAACCUCAAGUGCACUGCCCACCUCAGCCUCCCAAUGUGCUGGGAUUACAGGUGUGAGUUACUGCAUGCAGCCAGAAGAAAGUAUUCUCCAUAUCACUGCAUUCACCUACUGGAGACUUCUUUCCUCAGGAAGCCAAGACCCAGAAGCAAAAUGACUGGAAAUCAAAGAUGGACAUUAAGAGCACAUUCAUCUUCUUCAUCAGCUGCUGACAACUAUUACUCAGGUUAAACAGAAACCAGCCCUUUGGAAAGACGAGCUGCACCGCUGAUAUCAACCAAUGGUCUGACACUGCCCCUUCCUUUUGCAGUUUCUGCACAACUAACCAGCAUUCCUUCCUGAUAACAGACUGCCCACAAUGGAGUGGUUCUGG